CGAACUGACGAAGAUCCUCUCCAUCAUCGUUAUAAUCAUCCAAGCCGUAGUAGUCGUCAUUUUUGCAGCAAAAUUACGUGCAAUUAGAUCGGCGAGUCGCGCGACUAAAAUACAUAUAAUAUUGUGCUCAUAAUAAUUUUCAAUAUUAAUUUAUAAUUUUCAAAAACGAAUUUUCCAUUUAGUGAAUGCUUUAAUUUGGAUUUCCACGACCGACGAUCAUCAUAGACGACCGACGACGUGUUGUGUGUUGAGAAUUUUCAGAAAUUAUAAGCAUUUUCAAAAAAUAUAAAAAGAAGUAUAAAAAGUUUCAAAACUUCCCAAAGUGUGUGCGUUUUUGAGAGACUUAUUUUUUUUUGAAUAUUCGUCUCCCAGUUUUUUAUUAAUAAUAAUUUUUUGCCCAAGAAAAAAUACAAAUUUUCAUCGUUUUUUAGUCUUUGGAAAAUAAAUUGUGUUUUAUUUAAUUCAGUUUUUUAACUGCCAAAGUGUGCCUGGUGCCAGAAUACAGAAAAAUACGUUUUCUUUUCGAGAAGUUUUGUUCUGUUUUACAGAAAUUCAAAAUUCAUUCAGAAAGUGUGAACCACACGCAGAGUGAUAUUGAAAGUGAGAUUUUUAAGUGUAAGCGGGAAGGAGUACACAAAUAACCUCUAAAAAAUUGUUUGCAUAACCUAAAAAUUCAACUUAAAAAAAUAUCUUCUCUCACUCGAAAGUGUUUUAUCAGUUUUUGAAUUUUUUUAAAUUUAACUUUGUGCGAUAACGAAUCGUUUGGGAGUUGGAUUUUUGAAAAAUCUCCACCAAUAUGGCCGAUACUGAUGUUUUUGGAGAUAAUUCCGUUGAGAAAAUGUCCACCGAGGACCUAACCGACGAGGGUGCUCCUGCCAAAGAGGAUAUUACCGAGGAGGAGCCCCCGAAGCAGGUCAAGGAGGAAUUGCUCAAGGAGGAAACGGAAGAACUCCAACCGGACAGUUCCGUUCAGGAGAUUGUUGAUGAGAAUGGUGACGUUUACGAGGAAACCACUCAGGUGGCCCGUAAAGUUGUGAAACGUACAAUGAAAAUCACUGAGACUUCAUCAACAACAAAAACAACAACCAUGACAACUCCUGCUAAAUUAUAUGGCAAGGAUUUAAGUGAAUAUGAUGAAGUUGAUGUAGAUGCAUUGUUGGCACAGCUUUCACCAGAAGAGAUUAAUAUUUUGGCAAAAGAAGUCGAUCCUGAUGAUAACUUCCUGCCACCAAAUCAACGUUGCAGUUAUGAAUGUAAAAAAGAUCCCACCGGACCAUUGGACAGAAAGAAGCUCAUCGAACAUAUUAACAAAGAAGCCCUUGAAACACCCGAUCUACCCGAAAUAGAACCUUUCGUCAAAGGUACAGUUCGUGGUAAAAAAUGGGUUCCACCACCACGAGAUGAUCGAGAAAUUGCAGCUGAUGAACAAAUUGCCAUUGAUAUGGGUGAAGAAUAUGAACAUGCUUUAAGUGAUGCCACACAAGAAGAGAUUAUUGACUUGGCUGCUAUUCUCGGAUUCCAUUCGAUGAUGAAUCAAGACCAAUACCAUGCGUCACUUCUUAAUAAAGGUCAACCAAUCGGUAUGGGUUGGGAUGGUAUUACAAAAUCUACACAACAAAAAUUAUAUCCAAUGGAUCCGCCAAAUACAACAGAUAUUGAUGAAUCUGUUAAGCGGGUCAAAGAUGAUGAUCCAAAAUUGAUUGAACUGAAUUUGAAUAAUAUUAAGAAUAUAUCCGAUGAGAAAUACGAGCAAUUGUUCGCCGUACUGCCCCAAAAUGAACAUUUGGAAGUUCUAUCAUUAACAAAUGUCGGUCUAACCGAUAAAACAGCUCUCUUAUUGGCAGAAGCUAUUGAAAAAAGCAAAACCCUGAGAGUAUUAAAUGUCGAAACAAAUUUCAUAAGUCCCCCAGUGAUUGUGACUUUGGUAAAAGCGUUACUCAAAGCACGUACAAUUGAAGAAUUUAGAGCCUCAAAUCAGCGAUCAACAGUUCUUGGUAACAAAAUCGAGAUGGAGAUUACGGAUUUAGUAGAAAAGAACACAUCCCUACUCAGAUUGGGUCUCCAUUUGGAAUUCAAUGAUGCCCGUCAUAGAGUUGCCGCCCAUCUGCAGCGCAAUAUCGACAGGAUUGUACGUGUUCAAAAAUUGAAGCCAAAACUACCAUUGUUAAUACUACCCGAGGGCAAUGUCGAAUUACCAGCAAGUGAAAUUGACAGAAGGUUCGCCAUGUCGUCGUCGCCAUCUCCGUCACCAUCGCCAUCACCCCAACCACGACCCGAUUAUGAUGUCGAAAUUGAUCCCGAUAACAUUGUAGUUCGGGGUGGUGAUGUGGUUUCUGACGACGACGUUGAUGAUGAUGUUGAUGGAGAUGAAAAUAUUUUAACUUCGUCGUCGUCGCCACAAGAACCACCGCCAUCGCUUGACGAUAACAUCAAAACCCAUAUUAAGAAAAGAUCUUGAGUUACGUCUGAAGUUCAGAUUUUUCAAUAAUAUGCAUAGGAAAUCAGCAAGAAUUCAAUGAAUAAAUUAAAAAUACACAUCAGAAAUAAAAAUUCAAAUAAAAUAUAUAAAAAAAAAACACUAUAAAAUUAAGCGAAGCAAAAUAUAUACUUUUUUUCAUACCAAUUUUAAUUAAAAUGAAAAUGAAAAUAAGGAAAAACUGAAGAUGAUAAUCAUGAUGACGUGAAUAUAAUAAAACUGAUAUAAAUAUAAAAUUAAAUUCAUGUAAAAUAAUAAUAUAAAAAUCAAUAAAUAAAUCAAUAAAUAAAAAUAAUAUCAAAAUAAAUUUAGGCAUUACAUCAAAAAAUCAAAAUCAAAAAACCAAAAGUCAAUUUAAAAAACUAUGAAAUUAUCGCUUAGGAUGUAAAGGAAAUAAACGUCGAUGUUGAAAACCAUGUAAAAAACAAAAUCAUAUCCGAUCCAAACAAUAAAACUAAACAAAAAACAACAUCGUCUCUGUAAUAAUAGAAAUGUUUUUUAAAAAUCAAAACUGAGUGUUUAAAAACUUAAACACAAAACUGAUUUAAAACCAAGAAAACAUAAAUCUUUCAGAAAAGGAUUUUUUUAAAAUACGUGUUUCCCGCCUGAACCAGCGCAAAUAAGCGAGCAUCUUGUUGUCUCCAAAAAAAAAUAAAACUAAAAACAUAAAACAACAAUUUUAAAAAUUUUAAACAAAAAAAACAAAUAAAUUUAAUUAAACAUACCUUAAUAUACCUACAUACCUUCAUCUUAUUUAAACAGAAAAGAAAUAAUUAUAUAGCAACAAAAAUAUUAAAAAAUAAUACAUUUUAUUUCUUAAAAUAAAAACAAAACAAAAACUUAUCCCAAAACAAACUCCGAUCGAAUGAAAAACACUGGCCGUCAAAGACGAAUGGGUCAUUUCUCAAGAAAUUACACUGUUGGUCAUUUUCCAAAAUAGAAACAAAUUCAAAAUUAUUAAUUCAACAAUCAACAACAACAAAAAACCACAAAAUUUAUUCGUAUUUAUUAUUAUUACUAAUUUAAAAAUAAAAAUAUAAAAUGUUUCUUUAGACUAAUUUUUCUGAAUCAAAAUAAAUUUGUGAAGCUUGUUGCACAUACAAAAUAUUGUAUAGGACGAAAAAACAAAAAUUAUAAACUAUUAAAAUUGCUAUAUAUUUGUAUUUUGAAAAAUGUUUGUUAAAUCAUAGUCUUUUGAUGUCGCCUUAAUGCAAUUGAUUCGUGUACACACAAAUUUUAAUGUAUAACACUAAAAAAUAUAAAAUAAAAUUAUAUAAAUUACUUAGAAAAAUGUUUCAUCAAAUUGAAUUCAUAUAUUCUUAAUAAAAUUAUGUUAAAUUAUUUUAUUCAAAUUCACAAAUCGCUGCCACAACGAUAUCUCGAUCUAUGAUACCAACACCAACGUAACCAAAACCACUGGGGUACUUUUAGAUGUUUUUAUUCUGAUUAAAUAAAUAAUAAUUAUUUUAUUACUAACCACACAUUGUUUUUUUUCAAUUUGUUUUUUAUUUAAAUUUUAUGCUGUCUUAAUAGGGCAAAAAAAAAACAAAAAUUAAAUUGGCGAAAAAAAAUGUGCUUAAUUUUUAAUUAACAAUUAAACUAAAAAUAUUGUAAACAAUUUUCAUUAGCAAUUUGUCUGGUAUCAAGCUUAAAAUAAAAAUAACCUAAUAAGUGUUUUACAUUUUAAAUAUUUGUACUUUGUAAUAAUUUGAUCCACAAAAAAUAAUCCAAUCAUCGUAAUCAUAAUUAAUAAAAUAAAUCUAAUUAACCGUUAUAAUUAUUAUGUAUUGUAAAGUUUUCUUGGAUGAUGAAAAAGACAAAAGAUAAUGAUGCUAAUAAGUAGGCUUAAGAAGUAUCGCUGGGAAUGGCAAACAUUAAUAACAUUUUAAUUUUGUAUUUUUUUUUUCUUGUCUUUGUUUCAUUUUAAUUCAAAAUAAUUUCCUUAAACAUAAUGUAAAAUAUAAACAAACAAAAAAUAUAAAAAAAAUAAAAGAAACAAUUAUGUAAAAUAAAAAUAGACCUUUUUAACAAUUUUUUAUUAUAUUAUAAUUAUUAUUUGAAAAUACAAUUUGAGAGACUUUGGAAAAGCUUUUUACAAUAUUAUAAUUAAUUAUUACACAUUUUUGCUAUAGUUUAAAAAAAAAAAAAACAAACAAACAAACAAAAAAACAAUUGUGUAUAAACAAAAAAAUCAUGUGUUUUUUUCAUUGUUAAAUUAAUUAAACUAUUGUAAAAGAGCAAAAUGAUUUUAUUGCAUAUUUAGUUUUUAAUGAAUUAUAAAUGAUUUUAAGAACAAAUUUAAAAAAAAUAAUAAUAAACUUAACAAGAGAAAGAGUUUAGUGUAACAAAAUAAUAAUAAUUGUAGAAGGAAGAAAAUAUUAAAAAAUGUAACGUAUGUAAAAUGAUGACAUUAUGUACGAGAGUUUAUAAAAUUACACACACUACAGCAAAACACAAACACACACAGAAAUGAUUUAUUAUUAUAAUAAAGAGAGAGAAAAUAA